rnacentral:rRNA from 1 species
UACGAAGGGGGCUAGCGUUGUUCGGAAUCACUGGGCGUAAAGCGCGCGUAGGCGGGUCGUUAAGUCAGGGGUGAAAUCCCGAGGCUCAACCUCGGAACUGCCUUUGAUACUGGCGACCUGGAGUCCGGGAGAGGUGAGUGGAACUCCUAGUGUAGAGGUGAAAUUCGUAGAUAUUAGGAAGAACACCAGUGGCGAAGGCGGCGCACUGGCCCGGUACUGACGCUGAUGCGCGAAAGCGUGGGGAGCAAACAGG